AAGCGUUAAUCGGAAUUACUGGGCGUAAAGCGUGCGCAGGCGGUUUUGUAAGUCUGACGUGAAAUCCCCGGGCUCAACCUGGGAAUUGCGUUGGAGACUGCAAGGCUAGAAUCUGGCAGAGGGGGGUAGAAUUCCACGUGUAGCAGUGAAAUGCGUAGAGAUGUGGAGGAACACCGAUGGCGAAGGCAGCCCCCUGGGUCAAGAUUGACGCUCAUGCACGAAAGCGUGGGGAGCAAACAGGAUUAGAUACCCUGGUAGUCCACGCCCUAAACGAUGUCUACUAGUUGUCGGGUUUUAAUUAACUUGGUAACGCAGCUAACGCGUGAAGUAGACCGCCUGGGGAGUACGGUCGCAAGAUUAAAACUCAAAG
rnacentral:rRNA from 1 species